rnacentral:rRNA from 1 species
UACAAGAGUAAGCAAUCUUAAAUUGAUCGAGAUCUAGGAAGCUAAGCAGGGUCAGGCCUGGUUAGUACUUGGAUGGGAGACUACCUGGGAAUACCAGGUGCUGUAGGUG